AAUGUCAAUUUAAAUUAGUAUUGUUAAUCUUUUAAAGAGUGUCCUCCACUAUCAAAGCGCAUCUAAACGAAGGAUUCUUGGCAUCACAUAAAAGUAAAGAUUCCAUUUCAGACCUUGCGAUCUCUAGGUUAGAUUAUAAAGGUUAUCUGUUUCUGCGGCUCACGAUUAAUGAGGAUGUCAUGUGACUAGCACAACUGCAAACCGCCUUUACUUUUCCCCAACUAAUGUCAGGACACAAAGGCGUCCUAAAGAUUCCAAGUUAAAAAUCACAGGUUAAAGACUUCUAUCAUAAUCCUUUAAAAAGUUCAAUGCCUU